GACUCCAUAGCUAAGUGGUUAUAGCAUGAGAUUGCAGUUGUGAUGCCUUUCGCAUUCACUAUCUCGGGGUCGCGUGUUCGAGUCACGCUGGGGUCU